CCCUUAGAUGUUCUGGGCCGCACGCGUGCUACACUGAGUGGAUCAGCGGGUCAGGUUGCGCGAAAGCGUUUCCUAAUCUUGAAAUCCGCUCGUGAUGGGGAUUGACGGUUGCAAUUUUCUGUCAUGAACGAGGAAUACCUUGUAAGCGCGAGUCAUCAUCCCGCGCUGAAUACGUCCCUGCCCUUUGUACACACCGCCCGUCGCUCCUACCGAUUGAGUGGUCCGGUGAGGCUUUGGGAUCUGAGCGGAAAGAGCGUUUCGCUCGUUCUGCCCGGAAAACUCAGUCGAACCUUAUCAUUUAGAGGAAGGAGAAGGCGUAACA
rnacentral:rRNA from 1 species